rnacentral:rRNA from 1 species
GUAGGNGGCAAGCGUUGUCCGGAUUUACUGGGUGUAAAGGGCGCGUAGGCGGNGAGACAAGUCAGAUGUGAAAUCUAUGGGCUUAACCCAUAAACUGCAUUUGAAACUAUCUNUCUUGAGUGAUGGAGAGGCAAGCGGAAUUCCUAGUGUAGCGGUGAAAUGCUUAGAUAUCACGAAGAACUCCGAUUGCGAAGGCAGCUUACUGGACUGUAACUGACGCUGAUGCUCGAAAGUGUGGGUAUCAAACAGGAUUAGAUACCCUGGUAGUCCACACAGUAAACGAUGAAUACUCGCUGUUUGCGAUAUACAGCAAGCGGCCAAGCGAAAGCAUUAAGUAUUCCACCUGGGGAGUACGCCGGCAACGGUGAAACUCAAAGGAAUUGACGG